rnacentral:lncRNA from 1 species
GGGCAUCAAAUGCAAUGGAGUCCAGACUACACUGUAGGCCCUACAGGACAUCUGUAUGUUGCCCUGAAAACACACAAGGCUGGAGUGCGUGCAGGAGAUUCCUGGUAGGAGACAACUUCAUGUUGACGGUGGCUUACUGUGAUGGAAGGUGAGGAGCAAAGAGUCUUGUCUUUCUGGGAACCCCUAAUACUAUCUCAGGGCUUGUAACUCAGGACGGUUCCUGAGAGCCAAUGGCUAAUCAGUAGAACCAUCUGAUCUGCUUGGGCCAGAGCACAGUGAGUAUGGGAUUCUGGAGUGGAGUGUGUGGGGAGAUGCCUGUUAAAUUUCCAGAUGUUGAAAUGGUUUGGUCAUUUUCUGUACAAGAGAACAAAAAAGUAAUGUGCAAACAAAAUGAAAGUAAUUGCCCAUGGAAUUUGCUGUGGGUAUUCUCCUACUCCGUGCUGUUUUGGGCACCAUGGUGGACGCGUCUUCAUGGUAGAAAAGGCCGUACCCACCACAUAUGGAGGUUCCCAGGCUAGGAGUUGAAUGGGAGCUACAGCUGCCAGCCUACACCACAGGCACAGCAACUCAGGAUCCCAGCGGCAUCUGCAACCUACAUACACCAGAGCUCAUGGCAACACUGGAUCCUUAACCCACUGAGUGAGGCCGGGGAUCGAACCCACAACCUCAUGGUACCUAGUCAGAUUCAUUUCUGCUGCACCACAACAGGAACUCCAGAAAAUUUAACUUCUGAAAAUUCAAUGAAAAAUGGAAAGUGUAAGCAUGAUAGGGUAUCAAUCUAAUAGAGCUUGUAGUUGUUCUGGGGGUUAUGCCACCUAAAAUCUUGAAAUGAUUCCAAAUGUACUUGGCAGAUUUUGUGGAUUUCGGAGAGUGUUUCACGUGUGUGUAAGAAGACAUUUCCUUUGAGCUCUUGGGACUAGCCCUGGGCUGCCCCCCUCUUCUGUAUCUCAGGGUGGAGGUGGCUUUCUCCUGGGACACCCGCUUUUCCCAGACAAACUCAGACCACUGUUAUCGGGGUCACCAGCCCUCCCUUCAGUGAUUCUGCUCUAGUUAGGAUGAAUCGCCAGUGUCUAGCUCCUCCUGACUCCAUGCUCUGCCCCAGGGCACAGGCACCAGGCUUCUGUGGAUGGGAAGCCUGCCUUAGCUACUGGCUACUGGGCCAGGAGGGAAGUCCCUGGUGGGGUUUCUGUCCAUGAGCUUGUCACGGUUUUAUGACUUUCCGGUCAAGUCAGCAGAGCUUCCAAAGCACAGAGGUUGAAAGUAGAGAGAGCAAGUGAGAGGAAUUGUAUCCCUUUGUGCUAGUUUUCAGGGUGCAAAAUGCGUGUUUGUUUGUUUUGUCUUUUUAGGGGCCCACCUGAAGCAUGUGGAGGUUCCCAGGCUAGGGGUCAAAUCCGAGCUGUAGCUGCCUUCCUACACCACAGCCACAGCAAUGCAGGAUCCGAGCCACAUCUUCGACCUACACCACAGCUUUGCAGCAAUGCUGGAUCCUUUAGCCCAGUGAAUGAGGCCAGGGAUCAA